rnacentral:tRNA from 1 species
UGGCUUAGACGGUAAAGCGUCUGCCUACAAUGCAGGAGACCCGGGUUCAAUCCCUGG